UUGGAGGGCAAGUCUGGUGCCAGCAGCCGCGGUAAUUCCAGCUCCAAUAGCGUAUAUUAAAGUUGUUGCAGUUAAAAAGCUCGUAGUUGAAUUUCGGGAUUCUACCGUUGGUCGGACUAACAAGUCUGUACUGGUGUGUAGAAUUUCUACCUUCUGGGGAACUAUCAUGUUAUUAAUUUAGCGUGGUGGGAAACCAGGACCUUUACCUUGAAAAAAUUAGAGUGUUCAAAGCAGGCUUACGUCUGAAUACAUUAGCAUGGAAUAAUAGAAUAGGACGGUGGUCCUGUUUUGUUGGUUUCUGAAUCACCGUAAUGAUUAAUAGGGAUAGUUGGGGGCAUUAGUAUUCAAUUGUCAGAGGUGAAAUUCUUGGAUUUAUUGAAGACUAACUUCUGCGAAAGCAUUUGCCAAGGAUGUUUUCAUUAAUCAAGAACGAAAGUUAGGGGAUCGAAGACGAUCAGAUACCGUCGUAGUCUUAACCAUAAACUAUGCCGACUAGGGAUCGGACGAUGUUAAAUUUUAUUGACUCGUUCGGCGCCUUACGGGAAAC
rnacentral:rRNA from 1 species